rnacentral:rRNA from 1 species
UACGUAGGGUGCGAGCGUUGUCCGGAAUUAUUGGGCGUAAAGGGCUCGUAGGCGGUCUGUCACGUCGAAAGUGAAAACUCAGGGCUUAACCCUGAGCCUGCUUCCGAUACGGGCAGACUAGAGGUAUGCAGGGGGAGAAUGGAAUUCCUGGUGUAGCGGUGAAAUGCGCAGAUAUCAGGAGGAACACCAGUGGCGAAAGCGGCUCUCUGGAACGGUACUGACGCUGAGACGCGAAAGCGUGGGGAGCGAACAGG